CCGGACCGGCGCACGGGUGAGUAACACGUAUGGAACCUGCCCGCAGCAGGGGGAUAAGCGGAAGAAAUUCCGUCUAAUACCGCGUAACACCGCGGAGGGGCAUCCCUCGGCGGUUAAAGAUUCAUCGGCUGCGGAUGGCCAUGCGGCGCAUUAGCUAGUCGGCGGGGUAACGGCCCACCGAGGCGACGAUGCGUAGGGGCUCUGAGAGGAAGGUCCCCCACACUGGUACUGAGACACGGACCAGACUCCUACGGGAGGCAGCAG
rnacentral:rRNA from 1 species